UCCAGACUCCUACGGGAGGCAGCAGUGGGGAAUAUUGGGCAAUGGGCGCAAGCCUGACCCAGCAACGCCGCGUGAAGGAAGAAGGCUUUCGGGUUGUAAACUUCUUUUCUUGGGGACGAAGAAAGUGACGGUACCCAAGGAAUAAGCCACGGCUAACUACGUGCCAGCAGCCGCGGUAAUACGUAGGUGGCAAGCGUUAUCCGGAUUUACUGGGUGUAAAGGGCGUGUAGGCGGGGAGGCAAGUCAGAUGUGAAAACCACGGGCUCAACCUGUGGCCUGCAUUUGAAACUGUUUUUCUUGAGUGCUGGAGAGGCAAUCGGAAUUCCGUGUGUAGCGGUGAAAUGCGUAGAUAUACGGAGGAACACCAGUGGCGAAGGCGGAUUGCUGGACAGUAACUGACGCUGAGGCGCGAAAGCGUGGGGAGCAAACAGGAUUAGAUACCCUUGUACA
rnacentral:rRNA from 1 species